CCCCCAUCCCGGCAUGCAGCUCGCCCGCAGCCCGCCGGUCCUGUGCCCCACCAGGCCCCGGCACAGGCCCCGGGCUCGCGGCUGCCGCGCGAAGGAGCCGGGGCGGUCGCGCAGCUCAGCGGGCGCCGGGGGGCCCGGGCCCAGCCCCGGUCAGCGCGGAGCAGCCGCGGCCUGUUGUCCUCAGCGCCACGCUCGCAGUCCGAACUUGUCCCGGAAAAGAGGCGGUUUAAGCGAAACCUCGCGGACGCGGCUGUCGCAGUUGGCUGAUACAUUUGAACGGCGGUCAGCGAGAUUCUCUAGACCGUUUCAAUACAGUCGGACAGCAAAAAAAUACUUGAGAAUCCUGCACUGUGAGAGAAACGACGUGCAACCUGGCAGCAUUCUGGCGGCGCGGAACGCAGCACCGCGAGGCGGCAAAGGGCAGCAGGCGCCGUGCCCCGCCGAGCGGGAGCGCCCGCGCGCUGCUCCCGGCGCGGGGAGUCACGCCCGACCCGCCGCCGGCACCAGCAGAGGCGAGGUGCCUGCUUUCACCUCCCUUCCUUCUCAGGGGUUGUCCCAGGUGGCUUUAAGUAGGUGAUAGUGUUUCGUCCUGGUCCCUGCCUGGUCGUAGCGAUGCGGUUUACUGUCCUGGGAGAUGGGCAAAGCGAUGCCCGGUGCAGGGCUGCGCAGCGUGCCUGUCCUCAGAAGCGUAUUUCAUCCCUUCGCCCCAUUGCCUGUGCUCUUUAACGUGUGAUUUUAGCCCUGAUGUGGCACACAGAUAAAAUACUGAACAGAUUCUGAGACACAUUAUUAUAUCAAUAAAAGGUUCCAGACAGUU